CGGGCGCGCGCGCGCACGCCAAACCCUUUCCUCUCGCGCGCGGGCGGAGGGAGGACGUUGAAGAGUCGUGGGCCUAGGAAAAAAGCGAUUGGUGCUGGGGCGGGCAAAGGGCAAGUGCGCGCACGCGCACGGAUGGGAGUGCGCACGCAGACUGCGCGGAGGGCGCCGGACUCUGGCUGCGGCUGUAGUUUGCUGAUCCUCGCUUGGGUACCCGCCCUUAGAGGCCCGGCGUUGAAUUCCGGGAAGUGGGAGCUGCAGGCUCGCUCCGUGCGGGUGAAAAGGCACGGCUGCUGGCAUGAUAGGGGUUUCCUAGAAAGCAGUGAAGAGACCAUAGCCUAAUGAGAGCAGAGACUUGGGACCAGGAAGCAUAAAGCCAUGAAAUAAUGACUCUACUGUAUUAGAGGUAAUUUAUUGCUGUUUCCAGUAUUUAACAUAUGGAGUAAAAUCCUAAAUGCUGAAUGAAAGAAUCCAAAAGCGGAACAUAAUAUAAGGUAUCUUAGGGUCCCUCAAAAAAGAAUUAAAUACCAUUGGU
rnacentral:lncRNA from 1 species